rnacentral:rRNA from 1 species
AGCAGCCGCGGUAAUUCCAGCUCCAAUAGCGUAUAUUAAAGUUGUUGCAGUUAAAAAGCUCGUAGUUGAAUUUCGGGGUUUAUCCGUUGGUCGGGCUUUUGGGUCUGUACUGGCGCGAUGAAUUCCUACCUUCUGAAUAACCAGCAUGUCAUUAAUUUGGUGCGCCGGGGAAGCAGGACUGUUACCUUGAAAAAAUUAGAGUGCUUAAAGCAGGCUAUUGCCUGAAUACAUUAGCAUGGAAUAAUGAAAUAGGACGGCAUGGUUCUAUUUUGUUGGUUUCUAGGAUCACCGUAAUGAUUAAUAGGGAUAGUUGGGGGCAUUAGUAUUCAAUUGUCAGAGGUGAAAUUCUUGGAUUUAUUGAAGACUAACUUCUGCGAAAGCAUUUGCCAAGGAUGUUUU